rnacentral:rRNA from 1 species
UAAGGAAUAUUGCGCAAUGGGCGAAAGCCUGACGCAGCGACGCCGCGUGGGGGAUGAAGGUCUUCGGAUUGUAAACCCCUUUCGGGAGGGAAGAUGGAAUGGGGUAACCCAUUCGGACGGUACCUCCAGAAGCAGCCACGGCUAACUUCGUGCCAGCAGCCGCGGUAAUACGAAGGUGGCAAGCGUUAUUCGGAUUUACUGGGCGUACAGGGAGCGUAGGCGGUUCGGUAAGCCCUUUGUGAAAUCUCCAGGCUUAACCUGGAACAGUCGGAGGGGACUGCCGGGCUAGAGGACGGGAGAGGAGCGCGGAAUUCCCGGUGUAGCGGUGAAAUGCGUAGAGAUCGGGAGGAAGGCCGGUGGCGAAGGCGGCGCUCUGGAACGUUUCUGACGCUGAGGCUCGAAAGCGUGGGGAGCAAACAGGAUUAGAUACCCUGGUAGUCCCUGAGCGGGCUGGCAAGGCGCAU